rnacentral:rRNA from 1 species
UACGUAGGGGGCUAGCGUUGUCCGGAUUUAUUGGGCGUAAAGAGCGUGUAGGCGGCCAUGUAGGUCCGGUGUGAAAACUCGAGGCUUAACCUCGAGAUGUCAUCGGAAACCAUUUGGCUAGAGUCCGGAAGAGGAGAGUGGAAUUCCUGGUGUAGCGGUGAAAUGCGCAGAUAUCAGGAAGAACACCAAUGGCGAAAGCAGCUCUCUGGGACGGUACUGACGCUGAGACGCGAAAGCGUGGGGAGCAAACGGG